UACGUAGGGUGCAAGCGUUGUCCGGAAUUAUUGGGCGUAAAGAGCUCGUAGGCGGUCUGUCGCGUCGAAUGUGAAAACCCCGGGGGCUCAACCCCGGGCCUGCAUUCGAUACGGGCAGACUAGAGUUCGGUAGGGGGAGUCUGGAAUUCCUGGUGUAGCGGUGAAAUGACGCAGAUAUCAGGAGGAACACCGGUGGCGAAGGCGAGACUCUGGGCCGAUACUGACGCUGAGGAGCGAAAGCGUGGGGAGCGAACAGG
rnacentral:rRNA from 1 species